rnacentral:rRNA from 1 species
UACGAAGGGGGCUAGCGUUGCUCGGAAUCACUGGGCGUAAAGGGUGCGUAGGCGGGUCUUUUAAGUCAGGGGUGAAAUCCUGGAGCUCAACUCCAGAACUGCCUUUGAUACUGAAGAUCUUGAGUUCGGGAGAGGUGAGUGGAACUGCGAGUGUAGAGGUGAAAUUCGUAGAUAUUCGCAAGAACACCAGUGGCGAAGGCGGCUCACUGGCCCGGUACUGACGCUGAGGUGCGAAAGCGUGGGGAGCAAACAG